GGGAAACACUGACCACAGAAGACAAGUUGAGUUGGUUUGAAUUAGGUUUUUGCUACUGGCAGCCAAAGGAGUCCUGACUAAUCCACAAAGUUCAACUGACAGAUAAGCUACUCAGAAUGCGACGGUGAAAUGAAAGGGAUAAUACUCUCCCAUUCUCUUGUAAUUUGGAAAUUCUCCGGACCUAAAGCCAGAUCAGCCUCUGCUCUACCAGCACCAAAACUGUGCACGAGGCACACUGUAGUCAUCUAAGGAACUGGAGAUGUUAGCCUGAGAACGAGAAGACAAGAUGUGCUUGCUGGGCUCAAACGUGUGAAGGUCUACUUUGUGAGAAAGGGAUUGGAUUCACUCUUUGGAGUUAAAAGUCAGACCAACAAGUCCUUAUCACUGAGGGGAAUUUUCUGUACAA
rnacentral:lncRNA from 10 species